rnacentral:rRNA from 1 species
GAUGAACGCUGGCGGCGUGCCUAAUACAUGCAAGUCGAGCGAAUGGAUUAAGAGCUUGCUCUUACGAAGUUAGCGGCGGACGGGUGAGUAACACGUGGGUAACCUGCCCAUAAGACUGGGAUAACUCCGGGAAACCGGGGCUAAUACCGGAUAACAUUUUGAAUCGCAUGGUUCGAAAUUGAAAGGCGGCUUCGGCUGUCACUUCUGGAUGGACCCGCGUCGCAUUAGCUAGUUGGUGAGGUAACGGCUCACCAAGGCAACGAUGCGUAGCCGACCUGAGAGGGUGAUCGGCCACACUGGGACUGAGACACGGCCCAGACUCCUACGGGAGGCAGCAGUAGGGAAUCUUCCGCAAUGGACGAAAGUCUGACGGAGCAACGCCGCGUGAGUGAUGAAGGCUUUCGGGUCGUAAAACUCUGUUGUUAGGGAAGAACAAGUGCUAGUUGAAUAAGCUGGCACCUUGACGGUACCUAACCAGAAAGCCACGGCUAACUACGUGCCAGCCGCCGCGGUAA